rnacentral:lncRNA from 1 species
GAAUACGAUGAGUUGAAUGAGGCACGAUUACCAAUAGAAAGCUUACAGGAGCAAAUUCCAGGUACAAGACGACGAACGCUUUUGAGUUUGUUACACAAGCACAACUCAUCAGAUAGCUUUAAAGCUAUCGUCGUCUUGUACCUGUUUUGUGCCUUGGUGGCCGAAAGGCUGACUUCUUCGCCUGGUUUGCCAGGGAUGCUUUGGGAAAAUCCUGAGCUUUGUAGUCGGAAAAGACAAGCUACAUUAACGUGUUCCUCUCCCUCUUGUGCCUCUCUCCUUCCUCUCUUAACGCUCUCUCCUUUCCCUGAACACGUCUCCGCUCCCUCCUCUCUGUAGUAUCCUGGGUAUCACGGGAUCCAAAUUCACUGAUCAAUUCUUUUCUGGAAAAGACGUGAUACAACACUCUCUCCUUUCGUCCCUUCUCUCCCUUCUGUCCCUCCUCUCCCUCGUCUCCCUCUUCUUAAUUCUCUCCGUUCUCUCCCUCACGCUCUCCUCCAUCCUCGGCGAGUAGUCCUCGCAUUCCUUUUCCCUCCUCUCCCUCCUCUCAAUUCCCUCCCUCGUCUCCUUGUGGACGAUUUGCUGAUAAUGUUGCAGAUGAACUUCCCAUUAUUAAGGUUUAACUCCGUACACUUCUCUACCUGCAGUUCUUGGGUACAGCAUCCUAUAUUUUAUUACUAUUCCUUCUUAACUUAUUUCCCUUCUUUGCUUGCCGCUUCACGUUGCCAUUUCUUCAUGCGAACUUUGCAACCGCCUUAUGCUCGGCCAGUACUUCACACUGUACAUCUUCCUAACUUCUGCGCUUUGCAUUUCACCAUGUUUUCUCUCUUAUUCAAUAACACCACGCUUCGGCCCCGGCCGCAGCGCCUUCUGUUACGGCGUUCCUGCCGGAUUGUGCAAAGAGUACAGGUGGCCUGCGAUAUUCUGACUCACUUCAGCUUUACGACGGUCGCACAAAUCGAAAUGUGCAUGAAAGUUACAUCUAAUUCGUACGAAACCUUGCUUUAAGAGUCUGUUGCACGGAUAAAAAGUCAGUUUCUUUGUUGGAGGGCCUCGAGCAGACAUCGGCAAACGGAGUUUUUCUGGUCUCUUGAACGGAUCUAUUUCUAGCCCCGAAGUUACGACAUGGUCACACACGUAUAUCGAAAGCUCGUCAACUAACUUCAUAACAUUACACGUCCAGUACAAUGGACCGCGAUCUUUGACAUUGACCGCAGACUUAGGUCGCCACCUUUCGUAUAACUUUCGUAUACGGGAAAUCCUAUUUCUGCAAGCCGGCCGGCUUGGGGAACUCUAUUUAUGUUUUCGGGAGUUUCGGUACGACCCGAAACUCCCGAAGCGUUUGCCGAUGUCUGCUCGCGAGUGCUAUUGACCGCGGCCGGAAGGACAUCAAAAAACCGCGUUUUGAAGAAAGGGUCGGUAUUAUGACUCACCCGAAAACAACACUUCUGUGCCUCAUUCCGCAAAUUCAAACACAUUUUUAUUGUAUCUUAAUCCGAGCAGGCUCGUCCAUUUUCUAUCAAACAUCUACGCCAACCGCUGACAGGAUGGCCUGGUAAAAGUAAUAAAAGGCCGAUUCGGCCUGCUGCACCGGCGGGCGGGGUCGACUCAGCUUCACCAGCCAGGACUGCGGAAACCGACACUCUAUCUAGUGCCGACUUGUCUCAGGUGUAAAACAUAUGUUCAAAUGUGAUCCACUCGAACAUGUCCAGCUUUUGACCGAAAUGGGACCGAGAUGAGACUUUUAACGUAACGCUGUGUAGACCGCUGUAAGGGACGUUUCUUACCGACUGUAAACGUUAUGAGCAAUACACAUGCAUGGAUUUAUCUUUGUAAGUAAAUAUAGCAGUGCAAGCAAGUCAAACAGAAACUGCAUUUGUACCCACCCGCUUACAGAAACUACAUGUGCACACCCUACAAAUCCAAUAACCAUCAUCAGCAAGUCACCCGCCCGUAACGUAAGACCUACCAUAAAGCAAGCAGAUCUUCGGAGGCCGCUUGUGUUGGAUUUCGUUGCCCUGCUGCUGGAUACCUACAUGUAUAAGGAAGCAUACAAUCAAACAAAGCGACACGAUGGCAAUAACGACAACACACGUCAUUUGGUGCGUGCGUGUGAUUGUGUUAUAUUUCCAGCAGGAAGCGCGCAUGGCUGGACAAACUACUCCUAGACAGCAGGAACAUACCUUUACACGCAGCCGCAGCCACCUUUUAACGACCACUUAUGCAAAAUGUGUCUGUUGACUUGCCGUAAAAGCCUGCAUGAGCUACGGACUAGCUUUUAAGGCCCGCAUGGAUUACGGCGGAAGUGUACGUGCGCUUAGGGUUUUCGGGUUGCGGUCUGGGUCCUGUGCUCGGCCAUUCCGAGAUACGGCCAAUGUGUGCUACCAGUUCGUGCUGAAGAUAUAAGGAAAAUUGCAUAAUAUUUUAUCCAUGCAGGAAAUAUUCAAACAAAUUAGAAAGUCUGAUGUUCUCAAGGA